GAUGAAGAACGCAGCGAAAUGCGAUAAGUAAUGUGAAUUGCAGAAUUCAGUGAAUCAUCGAAUCUUUGAACGCACAUUGCGCCCGCUAGUAUUCUGGCGGGCAUGCCUGUCCGAGCGUCAUUUCAACCCUCAAGCCCCCGGGCUUGGUGUUGGGGAUCGGCGAGCCUCCGCGCCCGCCGUCCCCUAAAUCUAGUGGCGGUCUCGCUGUAGCUUCCUCUGCGUAGUAGCACACCUCGCACUGGGAAACAGCGCGGCCACGCCGUUAAACCCCAACUUCUGAAUGUUGACCUCGGAUCAGGUAGGAAUACCCGCUGAACUUAAGCAUAUCAAUAAGCGGAGGA
rnacentral:misc_RNA from 1 species